GUUACUCUGUCUUUGAAAACUAGUAUUGUUUGUACAUGACCUAGAACUAUUGGUUUUAGCAUGAGGGGCAGCCAGCUUGACCAGAUACUCCUUGUCUUCUGAUAUCCUCACAACACCAGCUUUUGUAGCCACUUUCCUCACAAGGUAGGGAAUCCUCAGAUACUUUUUCCUUUGAGACAAAUCUCUGAGCUGAUGAUCUUUGUGAUAUUCUGUGUAUGGCUUUCUGGUAAUUACUUGUUUUUUCCUUAUUUAGAUCAAGAGUACAAGGUUUGCUUAGGAUUUGCUGGUUUUUUCCUUGGCAAAAUUUCAGGUUUUUCAAAAUGGAAUCACUUCCUCUUGAUUGUAUUUAUGCACCUGCCCUCAAAAUUAUUGCAAGAAGGCACCAACAGAGAAUAAUUGACCUAAUAAGAAGGCAGCAUAAAUCAGGAGAGAUAAUAAUCCUUAAGUGGAAGUUUCCUCACUCACAUGGCCAACAUUUUAUCUCUGACAAUAAUAGCUUGACUUGGUAUGGGACAAGUCUUCAAAUACUCAAACAACAUUUCUGAGAUACAGGAAAUCCGUGCUCUUCCCAAGCAGCAGAAGAUAAGGGUAGUGCAGGACAUCGUCAGAGAGCAUAUGUGAAAUGCUAACUUGCUAAAUGCAGUCACAAAUCAGAGAGAGAACCAUAAAAACGUGUACCUCUCCCUGCCCCCAGCAGUUAUUUGUACCAUACCUUGGACAACUCCCAGAGCAGGGAAGCAGAACCCUACUGACUUAGAGCAACUCCCAAACUGAUGGCUUCAGGGAGCACAGAUGGGGCUUAUCCUCAUGUGUUGUGACAGAUCAGUUCCCCACCACAGACUGCUAAGUUCACAGUAGGUCUCAGGAGUCUGAAAGUGAGAGAGUCAGCUUUCAGCCUUCAAAGGAAGAUUUGUUUCCAGCUGCACAGAGGAAGAAACACGAAUCUGUCCUGCCACGGUACCUGCAAAUUAGGGUCAAUUGGAAAAGUACAGAGGCCAGAUUAUCUGCAUUUUGCUGAAUCAUGUACAACUCAGCAAAAGAAAGCUAAAAUGCAACUAAAUUGGAAUGGAAGCAUUUCAGGCUUUUUUUGAGCUGGUGCCAAAACAAAGUUAAAAAAAUAAAAGUUUUAGUCCAAAAUAUUUAGCUAAAUAC
rnacentral:lncRNA from 1 species